rnacentral:rRNA from 1 species
AGCAUAUCAAUAAGCGGAGGAAAAGAAACCAACAGGGAUUGCCCUAGUAACGGCGAGUGAAGCGGCAACAGCUCAAAUUUGAAAUCUGGCUUCGGCCCGAGUUGUAAUUUGCAGAGGAUGUUUUUGGCGCGGUGCCUUCCGAGUUCCCUGGAACGGGACGCCACAGAGGGUGAGAGCCCCGUAUGGUUGGACACUAAGCCUGUGUAAAACUCCUUCGACGAGUCGAGUAGUUUGGGAAUGCUGCUCUAAAUGGGAGGUAAAUCUCUUCUAAAGCUAAAUACCGGCCAGAGACCGAUAGCGCACAAGUAGAGUGAUCGAAAGAUGAAAAGCACCUUGAAAAGGGGGUUAAACAGUACGUGAAAUUGUUGAAAGGGAAGCGCUUAUGACCAGACUUGUGCCGUGCGGCUCAUCCGGGGUUCUCCCCGGUGCACUCCGCACGGCUCAGGCCAGCAUCGGUUUUCGUUGGGGGAUAAGAACUGUAGGAACGUGGCCCCUUUCGGGGGGUGUUAUAGCCUAUGGUACGAUACCCUGGCGGGGACCGAGGACCGCGCUUCGGCAAGGAUGCUGGCGUAAUGGUCAUCAGCGACCCGUCUUGAAACACGGACCAAGGAGUCGUCCAUUAGAGCGAGCGUUUGGGUGUAAAACCCGCACGCGUAAUGAAAGUGAAAUUAGGUGAGAGCUUCGGCGCAUCAUCGACCGAUCCUGAUGUUCUCGGAAGGAUUUGAGUAAGAGUUUUAACGGACGGACCCGAAAGACAGUGAACUAUGCUUGUAUAGGGUGAAGCCAGAGGAAACUCUGGUGGAGGCUCGCAGCGGUUCUGACGUGCAAAUCGAUCGUCAAAUAUGAGCAUGGGGGCGAAAGACUAAUCGAACUGUCUAGUAGCUGGUUACCG